CCCAAGUAGGUUGAUGUCUGG
rnacentral:miRNA from 1 species